UACGUAGGGCGCAAGCGUUAUCCGGAAUUAUUGGGCGUAAAGAGCUCGUAGGCGGUUUGUCGCGUCUGCCGUGAAAGUCCGGGGCUCAACUCCGGAUCUGCGGUGGGUACGGGCAGACUAGAGUGAUGUAGGGGAGACUGGAAUUCCUGGUGUAGCGGUGAAAUGCGCAGAUAUCAGGAGGAACACCGAUGGCGAAGGCAGGUCUCUGGGCAUCUACUGACGCUGAGGAGCGAAAGCAUGGGGAGCGAACAGG
rnacentral:rRNA from 1 species